UACGUAGGGGGCGAGCGUUGUCCGGAAUUAUUGGGCGUAAAGCGCGCGUAGGCGGCCCAGUAAGUCGACUGUGAAAUCUCACGGCUCAACUGUGAAACUGCAGUCGAUACUGCUGGGCUUGAGGAAGGUAGAGGAGAGUGGAAUUUCUGGUGUAGCGGUGGAAUGCGCAGAUAUCAGAAGGAACACCGAUGGCGAAGGCAGCUCUCUGGGCCUUUCCUGACGCUGAGGUGCGAAAGCGUGGGGAGCGAACAGG
rnacentral:misc_RNA from 1 species